GGUGAAAGGCUUGCUGCCUGAAGAUGAGCUUGCGUCUGAUUAGCUAGUUGGUGGGGUAAGAGCCUACCAAGGCGACGAUCAGUAGCUGGUCUGAGAGGAUGAUCAGCCACACUGGGACUGAGACACGGCCCAGACUCCUACGGGAGGCAGCAGUGGGGAAUUUUCCGCAAUGGGCGAAAGCCUGACGGAGCAAUACCGCGUGAGGGAGGAAGGCUCUUGGGUUGUAAACCUCUUUUCUCAGGGAAGAAAAAAAUGACGGUACCUGAGGAAUAAGCAUCGGCUAACUCCGUGCCAGCAGCCGCGGUAAUACGGAGGAUGCAAGCGUUAUCCGGAAUGAUUGGGCGUAAAGGGUCCGCAGGUGGCUAUGUAAGUCUGCUGUUAAAGAGUGAGGCUCAACCUCAUAAGAGCAGUGGAAACUACAAGGCUAGAGUGCGUUCGGGGCAGAGGGAAUUCCUGGUGUAGCGGUGAAAUGCGUAGAUAUCAGGAAGAACACCGGUGG
rnacentral:rRNA from 1 species